UACGGAGGGUGCAAGCGUUAUCCGGAUUUACUGGGCGUAAAGGGUGCGCAGGCGGUCUCGUAAGCUGGGUGUGAAAGCCCCGGGCUUAACCUCGGGAAUGGCAUUCAGGACUGCGAGGCUUUGAGUGUGGCAGAGGGAGGUGGAAUUCCACGUGUAGCAGUGAAAUGGCGUAGAGAUGUGGAGGAACACCGAUGGCGAAGGCAGCCUCCGUGGGCCAGCACUGACGCUCAUGCACGAAAGCGUGGGGAGCAAACAGG
rnacentral:rRNA from 1 species